GUAGGGAAUAUUGGGCAAUGGUCGGAAGACUGACCCAGCCAUGCCGCGUGCAGGAAGACGGCCCUCUGGGUUGUAAACUGCUUUUAUCUGGGAAGAAAAAGGCCAUGCGUGGCAAAUUGCCGGUACCAGAUGAAUAAGCACCGGCUAACUCCGUGCCAGCAGCCGCGGUAAUACGGAGGUGCGAGCGUUGUCCGGAUUUAUUGGGUUUAAAGGGUGCGUAGGCGGCUGAUUAAGUCAGCGGUGAAAGACUUCGGCUUAACCGGAGCAGUGCCGUUGAUACUGGUUGGCUUGAGUGUCGGAGGGGUACAUGGAAUUGAUGGUGUAGCGGUGAAAUGCAUAGAUACCAUCAGGAACACCGAUAGCGAAGGCAUUGUACUGGCCGACAACUGACGCUGAUGCACGAAAGUGUGGGGAUCGAACAGGAUUAGAUACCCUUGUAGUCC
rnacentral:rRNA from 1 species